GACGAACGCUGGCGGCGUGCCUAAUACAUGCAAGUUGAGCGAUGAAGAUUGGUGCUUGCUCCAAUUUGAAGAGCAGCGAACGGGUGAGUAACGCGUGGGGAAUCUGCCUUUGAGCGGGGGACAACAUUUGGAAACGAAUGCUAAUACCGCAUAACAACUUUAAACAUAAGUUUUAAGUUUGAAAGAUGCAAUUGCAUCACCCAAAGAUGAUCCCGCGUUGUAUUAGCUAGUUGGUGAGGUAAAGGCUCACCAAGGCGAUGAUACAUAGCCGACCUGAGAAGGUGGUCGGCCACAUUGGGACUGGGGCACGGCCCAAACUCCUACGGGAGGCAGCAGUAGGGAAUCUUCGGCAAUGGACGAAAGUCUGACCGAGCAACGCCGCGUGAGUGAAGAAGGUUUUCGGAUCGUAAAACUCUGUUGGUAGAGAAGAACGUUGGUGAGAGUGGAAAGCUCAUCAAGUGACGGUAACUACACAGAAAGGGACGGCUAACUACGUG
rnacentral:rRNA from 1 species